CGGCGUGACGUCACACGAGCAGAGAAGCAGCCACAGCAGAAGCGUGAGGAGGAAUGCGUCUGCAGAGCCAGGACUAAUAAUGAUGAAAUAAUCUCAUUUGUGCGGAGUAACUGAACCGAUCGCGGCUCGUCGAGGAACAGAUCGCUCUUCUGUAGCGGCUUUUGGAGCUCCGAUCCGAAAACAAAGGCGGAAACAUGGCAAACGACGAGACGCUGCGCUCGUUGAUGUUUACGCUCAGUUACGUGCUGUUGAAGCGGCGGCGUGACGUCACCAGCGCAGACGCGCAGCGCAGACGCGAGGUUCAGCGGCGCGUCGCGCACAGACAGUAUUUUCACCAGAGGCAUAAGAGGAUGAUCAUGAUGAUGAUCGCUCAGACGUCUCGUCCGGUCAGCGGUCCGCCGGCGCGCCCCACACGGGUCUGGAGCAGCAUCGAGAGCACCGAUUGGUGGGAGCGUGUGGUCAUGCGGGAGUUCCAGCCCUCUGAUUGGCUGGAGAAGUUCCGCAUGACUAAAGAGACGUUCUUCCUGCUGUGUGGGAAGCUGAAGCCGCGUCUGAGCCGUCAGGACACUCGUCUGCGUCCGGCGCUGCCGCUGGAGAAGCGUGUGGCCGUGGCUCUGUGGCGUCUGGCCUCUAACGUGGAGUACCGCACCAUCAGCGCUCUGUUCGGCGUGGGACGCUCCACCGUCUGCAAGUGUGUGAGAGACGUGUGUCACGCCAUUGUGCUGCUGCUGCGACCGCUGUACCUGCGACCCCCGAGCGAGCAGGAGCUGGAGGACGCUGCCAGACUCUUCUCCACCCGCUGGGGCUUCCCUCACUGCGUGGGAGCGGUCGGCAGCCUCCACGUGCCCAUCAUCGCACCGUCCAGCAACACCGACAACUACUGGAACAGCCGCGGCUGGCUGUCGGUGGUCACGCAGGGCGCGGUGAACGGUCUGGGGCAGUUCUGGGAUGUGUGCGCUGGGUUCCCGGGCAGCACCGAGCACUCGGCCAUCCUGCAGAACUCCACGCUGUGGGCACGCGGCUGCGACGGCUUCCUGCUGCACGAGCCACCGCUGGACUUCAUGGGCCGGCCGCUGGGCUUCCUGAUGCUGGGAGACGCCGGAUACCCGCUGAAGAGCUGGCUGCUGAAGAGCUUCCCCGAGUCCAGCGAGCUCUCCGCCGGUCAGAGGGCCUUCAACCGUAAGCUGGAGCGGGCGCGGGGCGUGGUGGACGAGGCCUUCCUGCGGCUCCGAGCGCGCUGGCAGUGUCUGCUGAAGAGGAACGACUGCCGCAUGGACGUGGUGCCCACCAUGAUCCUGGCCUGCUGCGUGCUGCACAACGUGUGCGAGGUGCACGGAGACGAGUUCAUCGAGCGCUGGGAGGAGGCCGUGAGGACCGAGGAGAGUCCACAGCCCGCAGACGAGGUGUCGCCCGCCGCAGACGACCGCGAUGGAGAGGAAGUCCGAGCUCUGUUCUGUCAGUACUUCCUGCAGCAGGAGACGCAGCAGCGGACGCUGACCUGAUGAGCGUGACUCGUGCACAAACACAGAAGCUCGUCUGUUCGCUUCACUCACUCUUAGAAACGUCUGAAUGUUAGAUGCAGAACAUCCCAGUCGUGUGUGUCGUGUUGAUGAAGUCCGUCAGUAGUGUGUCAGUCCUGGAGUCCAGUCUCUCUCUCUUUCAUCAGAGCUGAAAUGAGAGCAUCAGACAGAGAUGUGACAGAUGACGGAGUUAGUGGAGGAUGGAGCUAGCUGAUCUGUGUGAAACUGAGCAGAACUGACUUUAUUCCUGCAGUGAAAAUCAUCAGCUGAUUCAAACACAGUGAAGAGAUCCUGAAGAUCCAUGAAGACUGUGAACAGCACAUCAUUAUACAGUUUGAGCUCCAUAAACGAUGACAGAAUGAUAAUUUCUUGCUGAACAAUCUCUAACAGUGCUCCUCAUAACAUGCCAUCUGUCUCUGUGAGGUUUAGAUGAAGAAUAACUGAUGAAAUCUGGCGCAAGAUUAAGAUGAGGAUUAUUCCUCCUGUCGUCUUGAGAUAAAAUCAGGGAAUAUGGAUGUAUUAGGGUCAAGGGUCAUUCAAAGGUUUUAAAGAGACAGGACCUGUACUUUAGUGAUGGUGUGUGGCUGAAUGUGGAAACUCUGUCUGUUAGGAAGAAGGAUUAUCUGCGUCUCUGGAGAGAG